UUGAAUCAAAACAAGAUACGAUGAACAACAUGUUUUGACAUGUCUUUAGGCACAUGGCUAAUAAGACAGUGGAAAUCAUCGAGAAACUGAACAACUAAGCCAUUGUCUAUUCAGAAAUAAAAGCCGGUAAAUUCCACUGACAACCGAAACAAAAAUAAUAAUGGUGACGAGAAGUCUCAGGCAGAAAGGAGGAAGUGGAUACCAGUUCUUGCCCUGCAGCUCCACAAACUUGAAU
rnacentral:lncRNA from 1 species